rnacentral:rRNA from 1 species
GUUUGAUCCUGGCUCAGAACGAACGCUGGCGGCAGGCUUAACACAUGCAAGUCGAACGCUCGGAGCGAUCCGGGAGUGGCGGACGGGUGAGUAACGCGUGGGAACGUGCCCUGAGGUUGGGAAUAACUGCGGGAAACUGCAGCUAAUACCUGAUGAGCCCGAGCAAUCGGGGAAAGAUUUAUCGCCUUGGGAGCGGCCCGCGUCGGAUUAGCUAGUUGGUGGGGUAACGGCCUACCAAGGCUUCGAUCCGUAGCUGGUCUGAGAGGACGAUCAGCCACACUGGGACUGAGACACGGCCCAGACUCCUACGGGAGGCAGCAGUGGGGAAUCUUGCGCAAUGGGGGCAACCCUGACGCAGCCAUGCCGCGUGAAUGAUGAAGGCCUUAGGGUUGUAAAGUUCUUUUGCCCGUGACGAUGAUGACGGUAACGGGAGAAUAAGCUCCGGCUAACUUCGUGCCAGCAGCCGCGGUAAUACGAAGGGGGCUAGCGUUGUUCGGAAUUACUGGGCGUAAAGCGCG